CCUACGGGCGGCUGCAGUGGGGAAUAUUGCACAAUGGGCGCAAGCCUGAUGCAGCCAUGCCGCGUGUGUGAAGAAGGCCUUCGGGUUGUAAAGCACUUUCAGCGGGGAGGAAGGCGGUGAGGUUAAUAACCUCAUCGAUUGACGUUACCCGCAGAAGAAGCACCGGCUAACUCCGUGCCAGCAGCCGCGGUAAUACGGAGGGUGCAAGCGUUAAUCGGAAUUACUGGGCGUAAAGCGCACGCAGGCGGUCUGUCAAGUCGGAUGUGAAAUCCCCGGGCUCAACCUGGGAACUGCAUUCGAAACUGGCGGGCUAGAGUCUUGUAGAGGGGGGUAGAAUUCCAGGUGUAGCGGUGAAAUGCGUAGAGAUCUGGAGGAAUACCGGUGGCGAAGGCGGCCCCCUGGACAAAGACUGACGCUCAGGUGCGAAAGCGUGGGGAGCAAACAGGAUUAGAUACCCCGGUAGUC
rnacentral:rRNA from 1 species